GAUGAACGCUGGCGGCGUGCUUAACACAUGCAAGUCGAACGAUGAAGCCCAGCUUGCUGGGUGGUUUAGUGGCGAACGGGUGGGUAACUCGUGAGUAACCUGCCCUUCACUCUGGGAUAAGCCUGGGCAACUGGGUCUAAUACCGGAUAGGUGAGCCUACCGCACGGUGGGUGUUGGAAAGAUUUAUCGGUUUUGGAUGGACUCGCGGCCUAUCAGCUCGUUGGUGAGGUAAUGGCUCACCAAGGCGACGACGGGUAGCCGGCCUGAGAAGGUGACCGGCCACACUAGGACUGAGACACGGCCCAGACUCCUACGUGAGGCAGCAGUGGGGAAUAUUGCACAAUGGGCGAAAGCCUGAUGCAGCGACGCCGCGUGAGUGAUGACGGCCUUCGGGGUGAAAACCUCUUUCAGAAGGGAAGAAGCGAAAGUGACGGUACCUGCAGAAGAAGCACCGGCUAACUACGUG
rnacentral:rRNA from 1 species